GACUUGCGGAGUUUUCCAGGCUUCAUCUUUUCUCCUUUGCUGGAUGCUUCCUGCCCUCGAACAUCAGACUCCAAGUUCUUCAGCUUUUGGAGUCUUGGACUUACUGGUGGUUAACAAGGGGUUAUCAGGCCUUCAGCCACAGAUUGAAGGCUGCACUGUCAGCUUGUCUACUUUUGAGGUUUUGGGACUCAGACUGGUUCCUUGCUCCUCCGCUUGCAGACAGCCUAUUGUGGGACUUCACCUUGUGAUCAUGUGAUGCUGUGAACCCUCCCCAAGGGAGGUACCAAAAGCCUGCAUGAAGCAAAAACUGGAAACAAAUAAAGGAGAGUAUGGUGACUUUGCACUAAGUUACUCAUUUAUUCACAUAAUUAAUGAGUUUCUAUUAGUGUUAGGCACCGUUCUAGAUGAUGGUAUAAUUAGUUAACAAAAACCUCAAAACUCUCGCCCCCCAUGGAGCUUACAUUUCCAGGGAGGGAGAGAGAUGAUACAACAAUAAGAAAAUACAGAGCUAAUGUCAUUCUAUAUUGUAUAAUUAUGUAAAAUCAAGCCUGAGUAUUUG
rnacentral:lncRNA from 1 species